CUCGCCUUUGUCUACUGCUACUAGUGUAAGUGUCAGUCCAAAUUUCUCUCUGUGCAGUGUUCUUACCUCUACUGCUAGUGUUUGUGCUAUGACUCCCCUUACUGCCAUGCUUCUUGUUAAUAUCAAGACCAAGGAAUUAAUCAAGCUUUACUCGAUGGUGUGGACGUGGUCUCCAGAUUUAUUCUAUAUUGUUUAUUCAAUUUUUAGCUCUACUACACUAUCCUCGCACUACUAUGAUUCUUUUUUAAUUAAGCUCAUAACUAGGAAUUAACCAGUGAAUUCCUACUAUUACCGACUUGAUCAAAAAGCGACAAGUUAAUUGCUUCUGAUAGUUAGGUGCUGCCACAAACUAAAUCUAAAUGUUGCUUCUACUGUGUGUGCGCGUGCACUCAUUUCUGGACCCUACAAUAGUCAAGUGAACAUUGACAUUGAUCACUCAAAACAUACUUAGAAAGGGGAUCAGGAAAGGGAAAAUAAAAGGAUAUCAGGAAUUUAUUUGUACAAGAUUUGCACAAAGUAUGUUUAUUUAUUUUUCUGUUUUCAGAAUGAGGCAUGUGCAAAUGAGACAUGGCAAACAUUAGCCAAACAAUGUUCAAUACAACUAGGAAGGGAUCAUUAAGAUGAGUAGCAUACACAGGAAGCUUGAGCUAUUAGCUGUACAUGUAAAUCUUAGCAAGUUAAUAUUUGGGGUUUAAUUCUCAGCAUGACAUGUCUAUUAUAUACAUAGAUUUAGUACAAGACAGAGAUGGACAUGCAUAGUACACAUGCAUCACUAAACCACCAUGUACCAAUUUGUCUUCAUCUAAUUUAUGUGCUUUCUUUUUCUAACCAUCAUUCUUCUUUUUACAAAGUAACUAGAGUCCAAAAGAUCAGGUGUUCAUGUUCUAAGCAAAGAUGAAGAUGGAUCAAGCAAACAAAGCUGCAAAAGCAAGGCACUUGAAUAGUACCUGAUGGCAACUCAGCAUCCGACCAAAAGAGUGGAUGGGGAUGGUGGGGAGAGCUUGGUUCUCUCUUGUGCGUGUUGUGUGCAGUAGAGGAAGUCAAAGGUGAAAGGAGGAGGCUGCUAUUUAUAGUAGUGUAGGGUGCUAGGUCGGUUUGGUAAAAGAGAGAUGUGGCUGACAUGCAUGGUUGCAUGAGCAUGCAAGCCUCCACAUGUAAUCAUGUGAGUUGUACAACGGACAAGUGUAUAGUGCAUGGUUCGACACGAGAUGGCAUAUAAUUUGUGUGUAAGGAAUGAGACAAGGGCCUAAUUAUAAAUCUGCAAACAAUAAGGGAGUUGGAGAAGAACCAUUGUACAUGGCUAAAUACUAACUUUUUUGGUUGCAAUAAAUUUUUGAUAUUAGUGUUGUGGUCAAUUAUAAUUAUUCAACUAACUAUGCCUUGUGACACUGGUGUAACAUAGCGCCGUCAAAAAUAUUGUUAUCUAAUUUUGAGGGUUUUUACAUCCCUUCCCCCUUCGAAAAAUUUCGUCCUCGAAAUUUGAGUUGUGACUCGUAUAGGCUGGCCCAAGUCUAACCCUCUCAGCCUAAUCAUGUAUAGGCUAGCAUUAAAGAUUAUACACUCAAUGCAUAUGGGAUUGUUGUGGAAGACAGGCUCAACAAUUAUUGGGCCUCCGAGUGAGUCUACUUCUAUGAGUUUGGCUAGGGAGGUUCGGUCCAGACUACAUGUCUCAGCAAAGUGUCGGGAUAUGAAAGGAUAUGUUGCCCUUGAUGUAAUAAAAUAAAUAAUAAUAAUACUAAGACUACUGCAAGAGGGAUUUAUAGGUUACUGAUGACCCACAAGUGUAGGGAAUCUAUCGUAGUCCUUUCGAUAAGUAAGAGUGUCGAAUCCAAUGAGGAGCAGAAGGAAAUGAUAAGCGGUUUUCAGUAAGGUUUUCUCUGCAAGUACUGAAACUGUAGGUGAUAGAUAGUUUUGUGAUAAGAUAAAUAGUAACGAGUAACAAGUAAAUAAAGUAAAUAAAGUGCAGCAAGGUGGCCCAAUCCUUUAUGUAGCAAAGGAUAAGCCUGGACAAUUUUUAAUAGUGAUAAAGGAGCUCCCGAGGAAAAAUUGGGAAUUAUCGUCAAGCUAGUUUUCAUCACGUUCAUAUGAUUCGCGUUCGGUACUUUGAUAACUUGAUAUGUGGGUGGACCGGUACUUGGUUACUGCCCUAACUUGGACAAGCAUCCCACUUAUGAUUAACCCCUAUUGCAAGCAUCCGCAACUACAAAAAGAAGUAUUAAGGUAAACCUAACCACAACAUUAAACAUAUGGAUCCAUAUAAGCCCCUAAUGAAGCAACGCAUAAACUACGGUUUAACCUUCUGUCACUCUAGCAACCCAUCAUCUACUUAUUACUUCCCCAUGCCUUCCUCUAGGCCCAAAUAAUGGUGAAGUGUCAUAUAGUCGACGUUCACAUAACACCACUAGAGGAAAAGACAACAUACAUCUCAUCAAAAUAUCGAAUGAAUACCAAAUUCACGUGACUACUAAUAGCAAGACUUCACCCAUGUCCUCAAAAACAAACGUAACUGCUCACAAAGCAUAUUCAUGUUCAUAAUCAGAGGAGUAAUAAUAUGCAUAAAGGAUCUGAACAUAUUAUCUUCCACCAAGUAAACCAAUUAGCAUCAACUACAAGGAGUAAUCAACACUACUAGCAACCCACAGGUACCAAUUUGUGGUUUUGAUACAAGAUUGGAUACAAGAGAUGAACUAGGGUUUUGGGAGGAGAUGGUGCCGGUGAAGAUGUUGAUGGAGAUUGACCCCCUCCCGAUGAGAGGAUCAUUGGUGAUGACGUUGGUGAUGAUUUACCCCUCCCGGAGGGAAGUGUCCCCGGCAGAAUAGCUCUGCCAGAGCCCUAGAUUGAUUCCGCCAAGAUUCCACCUCGUGGCGGCGGAGUUUCGUCCCGUAAGCUUGCCCACAAUUUUUUCCAGGGUAAAAGUGAUGAUAUGGCAGAAGAUGGACGUCGGAGGCCCACCAGGGGGCCUAGGAGAUAGGGGGCGCGCCCCCUGUCUCCUGGACAGGGUGUGGGCCCCCUGGCAUAUUUCAGGACUUUUGGAGCUGUGCAGAAUAGGUUUCCAACGUUUGCUCCUUUUCUAGCUAGAAUUUCAGCUGCCAGCAUUCCCCCUCUUCAUGGUAAACCUUGUAAAAUAAGAGAGAAUAGCCAUAAGUAUUGAGAUAUAAUGUGUAAUAACAACCCAUGAUGCAAUAAAUAUUGAUAUAAAAGCAUGAUGCAAAAUGGACGUAUCAACUCCCCAAGCUUAGACCUCGCUUGUCCUCAAGCGGAAGCCGAAAUUGAAAAAUAUGUCCACAUGUUUAGAGAUAGAGGUGUCGAUAAAAAUAAAAUAUGGACAUGAGGGCAUCAUGAUCAUUCUAAUAACAACUACAUACAUAAAUUUUGUCAUAUGAUUCUCUAUGCUCAAGAUACAAGCAAUUCAUAAUGUCAAGUAUGGUUCAAAAACUUCAUUGGGAACUAACAAACUAUGAUCUCAGUCAUUGAAGCAAUUGCAAUUUAUCGUAACAUCAGAAAGAGUCAAUAAUGGAGCUUUUCAGCAAGCUCACAUACUCAACUAUCUCUUAGUCUUCUACAAUUGCUAACACUCACACAGUACUUGUGGUUAUAGAGUUUCAGCCGGACACUGAGAAAGAUAGGGGCUUAUUGUGUUGCCUCCCAACGUAUUCACCUUUAGGUGAUGUCAACAAUAAUAGCCCAUGCUAACUUACAUCCAAUUGGAUAUAUAUAUAUCAUGAUCUUUCAAACACGAGGAGCUUGCCAAAGGAUAAAAUGAAAAAGGGACAGGUGAGGAUCACCUUGACUCAAGCAUAAAGUAAAAACAUAAAGUAAAAGAUAGGCCCUUCGCAGAGGGAAGCAGAGGUUGUCAUGUGCGUUUAGGGUUGAUGAACAAAAUCUUAAUGCAAAAGAACGUCACUUUAUAUUGCCCCUUGUAUGUGGACCUUUAUUAUGCAGUCCGUCGCUUUUAUUACUUCCACAACAAGUUCGUACAAAGCUUAUUUUCUCUGCACUAAUAAGUCAUACAUAUUUAGGUAGCAAUUUUAUCGCUUGCAACAUGACAACUUACUUGAAGGAUCUUACUCAAUCCAUAGGUAGGUAUGGUGGACUCUCAUGGCAAAACUGGGUUUAAGGGUAUUUGGAAGCACAAGUAGUAUCUCUACUUGGUGCAAGGAAUUUGGCUAGCAUGAGGGGGAAAGGCAAGCUCAAUAUGUUCGGAAGGUCAAUGACAAUAUACUUUAACUGAGAUGUCGGAAAACAUAGACCAUUACGUUGUCUUCCUUGUCCAACAUCAACUAUUUUAGCAUGUCAUACUUAAUGAGUGCUUCACAAUCAUAAAAGAUGUCCAAGAUAAUAUAUUUAUAUGUGAACCCCUCUUUCCUUAUCACUUCCUAUUAAUUGCAACGAUGACCAAGGCUACGUUCAUCAACUCUCAACAAUUUUUAUGCCUCAUACGUUCUAUGUGUGAAGUUAUCACUAUCCAUAAGAUCAAUAUGAACUCCAUUAUUCUUUCUACUUUCUCAAGAUCAUAGCAACAUAGCAAGGCCCUUGAAUCGACACUAAUCUUUAUUAUAGAUAACUCACGGACUCGAUUACAAAAAGAGAUCAAAAAGCAAAACUCGAAACUACUUGAUACCUAAAUUUCAAUCUACUAGAUCAAGAUACUACUAAAAGGAUCGAACUAAAUAAAACGGUAAAGAUAGGAGUGUGAUGGUGAUACGAUACCGGGGCACCUCCCCCCAAGCUUGGCAGUUGCCAAGGGGAGUGCCCAUAUCCAUGUGAUUAUGUCCUCGGAGGUGGUGAAGUAGGAGUUGUUGAUGAUGUAGGCUUGUCGUCCGUCUUCCAAGGCAUAGGCUCUCCAUCAUAAAAGGAUGAACGAGUCUCCGGGAUCCUUAAAUCUGCAGCCAAACUCAUUCGCUUGAAUCUAUAUUCAUACUCACAGUUCUGAUUUUGUAGGUCAUAGAUCUGGGAUUGGAGGUGCUCGAUUUUCUCUUGAAGCUUGAAGAUGGUCUCCCAAAUGACUUUAGCAUCUAGCUUGUGGUUGUUGGUGAACUCUGUGAUCAUCAUCUAGUUGGCGUUGAGUCCACGCUCCACCAUCCCUUGGCACUUUAAAACUUCCUGUUCCAUGGCUUCGAGCUUUGUCUCCACGCUCCCGGUAUGCCUUGGUCCCUCCACAUCGCGGAUGUGCAGCACCCCCUCACGCAUCUCAAUGGUUUGAGGAUGAUGCAGCACCUCCGCGAGAUAGGGGUUGAUAACCCUCUCGAAAAACUUGUCCUUGGGAGCGCUUGGAGACGCCAUGAUGCUCUAGAUCUGAAAUAGUAACAACUCGAAACGAAAACAGUGGAUAUUUGCGUGAUACGGUGGUCAAAACCUUCGGGAGUAUAUAUAAUGAAUUUUUAUCGACCAAAAUACAUAACGUGCAAGAAAACGGAGUCCGGGAGGCACACGAGGUGCCCACGAGACAGGGGGCGCGCCCUACAAGGGGGGGUGCCCUCCACUCUCGUGGGGGCCUCGUGUCCCUUUCUGACUACUUCUUUCUUCCUAAAAUUCUUAAAUAAUCCAAAACUGAUAAAAAUUGCCAUUAGAGUUGUUUUGGAGUCGGUUUACUUACCGUACCACAUACCGAUACCUUUUCGGAGUCUAGAACGUUCUGGAAAGUGUCCCUUAUGUAUUCCUCGGGGGUUACUGUUUCAAUAAUAUUAGUUUCAACAUUGAUAGGAUUACCUGAAAUAUAAUGUUUAUUUCUUUGACCAUUUACCACCCUCGGAUUUGUGCCUUCGAAGUUGUUGAUUUUAUAGCACCAGAACGAUAGACCUCCUCGAUAACGUAGGGACCUUCCCAUUUUGAGAGAAGUUUUCCUGCAAAAAAAAUUAAACGAGAGUUGAAUAAUAACACAUAAUCUCCUAUAUUAAACUCACGCUUUUGUAUCCUCUUAUCAUGCCAGCGUUUGACUUUUUCUGUGAAUAGCUUGGCAUUCUCAUAUGCUUGGGUUCUCCAUUCAUCAAGUGAGCUAAUAUCAAACAACCUCUUCUCACCGGCAAGUUUGAAGUCAUAAUUGAGCUCUUUGAUAGCCCAAUAUGCCCUAUGUUCAAGUUCAAGAGGUAAAUGACACGCUUUUCCAUAAACCAUCUUAUAUGGAGACAUACCCAUAGGAUUUUUGUAUGCAGUUCUAUAGGCCCAUAAUGCAUCAUCAAGUUUUUUGGACCAAUUCUUUCUAGAUCUAUUCACAGUAUUUUGUAAAAUUAAUUUGAGCUCUCUAUUGCUCAACUCUACAUGACCACUAGACUGCGGAUGAUAAGGAGAUGCUAUUCUAUGAUUGACAUCAUACUUAGCAAGCUUCUUACGGAAAGCACCAUGAAUAAAAUGUGAACCACCAUCAGUCAUAAGAUAUCUAGGGACUCCAAACCUCAGAAAAAUAACUUCUUUAAGCAUUUUAAUAGAAGUGUUAUGAUCAACACUACUAGUUGGAAUAACUUCUACCCACUUAGUAACGUAAUCAACAACAACUAAAAUAUGUGUAUAACCAUUAGAGGCAGGAAAAGGUCCCAUAUAAUCAAAGCCCCAAACAUCAAACAGUUCAAUAACAAGAGAAUAAUUCUUAGGCAUUUCUUGACGUCUACUAAUGUUACCUAUUCUUUGACAUUCAUCACAAGAUAAGACAAACUUACGAGCAUCUUUAAAGAGAGUAGGCCAAUAAAAACCAAAUUGUAGUACCUCGUGUGCAGUUCUAUCUCCAGCGUGGUGUCCCCCAUAAGAUUCAGAGUGACACUUGCAUAGAAUCUGUUCCUGUUCAUGCUCAUGCACCCAACGUCUAAUAACACCAUCUACUCCUUUAUAAAGGUGUGGAUCAUCCCAGAAGUAAUGUCUUAAAUCAUAAAAGAACUUUUUCUUUUGCUGGUAUGUGAAACUAGGCGGUAUAUAUUUAGCAACAAUGUAAUUAGCAUAAUCAGCAUACCAAGGAGCAGUACGAGAAGCAUUGACGACCGCUAAUUGUUCAUCAGGAAAGCUAUCAUUAAUAAGCAGUGGGUCAUCAAGAACAUUCUCUAACCUAGACAAGUUGUCUGCAACGGGGUUCUCAGCUCCCUUUCUAUCGAUAAUAUGCAAGUCAAAUUCUUGGAACAAGAGAACACAUCUAAUGAGUCUAGGCUUAGGAUCUUUAUUUUCCAUAAGAUAUUUAAUAGCAGCAUGAUCAGUGUGAAUAGUAACUUUGGAAUCAACAAUAUAAGGUCUAAACUUAUCACAUGCAAACACAACUGCUAAGAACUCUUUUUCAGUAGUAGCAUAAUUUCUCUGGGAAGUAUCAAGAGUCUUACUAGCAUACUGGAUAGCAUUCAAUUUCUUAUCGACUCUUUGCCCUAAAACAACACCUACAGCAUAAUCACUAGCAUCGCACAUAAUUUCAAAAGGUAAAUUCCAAUCAGGCAGCUGAACAAUAGGUGCAGUGAUCAAAGCUUUCUUAAGUACUUCAAAUUCUUCUACACAAUCAUCAUCAAAGAAAAGGAAUAUCUUUUUGCAAUAAAUUAGCCAGAGGCCUAGAGAUUUUAGAAAAGUCCUGAAUGAACCUCCUAUAAAAACCGGCGUGACCAAGGAAACUUCUUAUACCUUUUAUGUCCUUGGGACAUGGCAUCUUUUCAAUAGCAUCAUUGGCCUUAUCAACUUCAAUACUUCUCUCAGAGAUCUUGUGCCCCAAGACAAUGCCUUCAUUAACCAUAAAGUGACACUUUUCCCAAUUCAAGACGAGACUAGUGUCUUCGCAUCUCUGUAAAACUCGAUCAAGAUUGCUCAAACAAUCAUCAAAAGAGGAUCCAUAGACUGAGAAGUCAUCCAUGAAUACCUCACAAAUCUUUUCACAAAAAUCAGAGAAUAUAGCCAUCAUGCCUCUUUGAAAGGUUGCAGGUGUAUUACAUAAACCAAAAGGCAUAUGUCUAUAAGCAAAAGUACCAAAAGGGCAAGUAAAAGUAGUUUUAGAUUGAUCCUUCGCUGAUACAGGUAUCUGAGAGAAACCAGAAUAACCAUCUAGAAAGCAGAAAUGUGCGUGUUUGGAUAGUCUUUCUAGCACUUGAUCAAUAAAAGGUAAAGCAUAAUGAUCUUUCUUAGUAGCUUUAUUAAACUUACGGAAAUCAAUUACCAUCCUAUAACCUGUAAUAAUUCUUUGCGGGAUCAAUUCAUCUUUAUAAUUAGGAACAACGGUAAUACCUCCCUUUUUAGGAACACAAUGAACAGGGCUUACCCAUUCAGUAUUAGCAACGGGAUAAAUAAUACCUGCCUCAAGGAGUUUUAGUAUCUCCUUUCUUACCACUUCUUUCAUCUUGGGAUUUAAUCGUCUUUGAGGAUCUCUAACUGGUUUGGCAUCUUUCUCCACUGAAAUUUUAUGUUGACAUAAUGUGGGACUAAUGCCCUUAAGAUCAUCCAGAGUAUAUUCAAUAGUUGCUCGGUGCUUCUUCAGAGUUUUCAAUAAUCUUUCUUCUUCUUUCUCUGAAAUGUUAGCACUAAUAAUAACAGGAUAUAUUUCUUUUUCAUCAAGAUAAGCAUACUUAAGAUUAUCAAGUAAGGGUUUAAGUUCAAACACGGGAUCACCCUUGGGUGGAGGGGGAUCCCCAAGAAUUUCAACGGGAAGGUUAUGUUUCAGCAUAGGUUCCUGUUUAAGGAACACUUCAUCUAUUUCCUCCCUUUCCUUCAUAAACAUAUCAUUUUCAUGGUCUAGCAAAUAUUGUUCUAAAGGAUCGGUUUGAGGAACAGCAAUGGAAGCAAGACCAAUAAUUUCAUCCUUACUAGGUGGUUCCCUUUCACGAGGUUGUCUACUAAACUUAGCGAAAUUAAACUCAUGAGACAUACCAUCAAUGCCAACAGUGACAAUAUUCUUUUCACAAUUGAUCUUAGCACUAGCAGUAUUCAAGAAGGGUCUACCAAAAAUAAUGGGACAAAAAUCAUCUUGUGGGGAACCAAGAACAAGAAAACCAGCAGGGUAUUUAACUUUCCCACAAAAAACUUCAACAUCUCUAACAAUCCCAAUAGGUUUAAUGGUAUCCCUAUUAGCAAGCUUAAUAGUAACAUCAAUGUCUUCUAAUUCAACAGGUGCAAUGUCAUGCAUAAUUUCUUUAUAUAAAUCAUAAGGUAUAGCACUAGCACUAGCACCCAUAUCACAUAAGCCAUGAUAACAAUGGUCUCCUAUUUUAACAGAAAUAACAGGCAUGCCUACAACAGGUCUACGUGUCUUAGUAUCAGGUCUAGCAAUAUUGGCAGUCUCACCCAAGAAAGAAAUAACAUGCCCAUCUAAAUCCUCAUCCAAGAGAUCUUUAACCAUAGCAAUACUAGGUUCAACAUUAAUUUGCUCAGGAGGUGUAUAAGUCCUAGUAUUACUCUUAUGAACAACAGUCGAAGCAUUAGCAUGAUCUUUUAUCCUAACAGGAAAAGGAGGUUUUUCAACAUAAGCAGUAGGAACAAUAGGAUCACUAUAGGUAAUAGUCUUUUCUUCGACUGUAAUAGGUGCAACUACUUUCACUUCAACAGGAGGAUUAUAUUUAAACCACUUCUCUUUAGGGAGAUCAACGUGAGUAGCAAAAGAUUCACAGAAAGUAGCUACUAUCUCAGAGUCAAGUCCAUACUUAGCGCUAAAUCCACGGAAAGCAUAGGUAUCCAUAAAAGAUUUAACACAAUCGAACUUAGGUGUCAUACCUGACUCCUUACCAUCGUCGGAACCCCAAUAUUCAGAGUUGCGUUUAAUUCUUUCCAAUAAGUCCCAUUUGAAAUCAGUAGUCUUCAACAUAUAAGAACUAGCACAGGAAGUAUCGAGCAGGUUGCGAUUAUCAAGAGAAAGCCGAGCAUAAAGGUUCUGAAUAAUCAUUUCCCGAGAGAGCUCAUGAUUGGGGCAUGAAUAUAACAUUGACUUAAGCCUCCCCCAAGCUUUAGCGAUGCUUUCUCCUUCGCGAGGCAAGAAAUUAUAUAUGUAAUUACGAUCACGAUGAACAAGAUGCAUAGGAUAGAACUUUUGGUGAAAUUCCAACUUCAAUCGCUUAUAAUGCCAAGAUCCCAUAUCAUCACAUAUCCUAUACCAUAUAAAUGCAUCUCCCUUCAAAGAUAAAGGGAAGACCUUCCUUUUGACAACAUCAUCGGGAAUACCUGCAAGCUUAAAUAAUCCAUAAACUUCAUCCACAAAGAUAAGGUGUAAAUCGGGAUGCAAUGUUCCGUCUCCUGCAAAUGGAUUAGCUAGCAGUUUUCUAUCAUACCCGAAGGAAUCUCAAAGUAAAUAUUUUCAUAAAGUUCAGUAAGUUGAGAAGCAACUCUUUGCUCUUCUGGUUGGGGUGAAGAUACCCCAAACAAGCCCCUCAAAGGAUUAGUUUCCAUAGUGACAAGUAACAGAAAAUCUCAGCACACUAUAUAAAUGUUUCUUUACCAAGUUCCACUCACCAAAAGCGCUACACUCCCCGGCAACGGCGCCAGAAAAGAGUCUUGAUGACCCACAAGUGUAGGGGAUCUAUCUUAUUCCUUUCGAUAAGUAAGAGUGUCGAACCCAACGAGGAGCAGAAGGAAAUGAUAAGCGGUUUUCAGUAAGGUUUUCUCUGCAAGCACUGAAACUGUAGGUGAUAGAUAGUUUUGUGAUAAGAUAAAUAGUAACGAGUAACAAGUAAAUAAAGUAAAUAAAGUGCAGCAAUGUGGCCCAAUCCUUUAUGUAGCAAAGGAUAAGCCUGGACAAUUUCUAAUAGUGAUAAAGGAGCUCCCGAUGACACAUUGGAAAUUAUCGCCAAGCUAGUUUUCAUCACGUUCAUAUGAUUCGCGUUCGGUACUUUGAUAAUUUGAUAUGUGGAUGGACCGGUACUUGGGUACUGCCCUAACUUGGACAAGCAUCCCACCUAUGAUUAACCCCUAUCGCAAGCAUCUGCAACUACAAAAGAAGUAUUAAGGUAAACCUAACCACAACAUUAAACAUAUGGAUCCAUAUAAACCCCUAACGAAGAAACACAUAAACUAGGGUUUAAGCUUCUGUCACUCUAGCAACCCAUCAUCUACUUAUUACUUCCCCAUGCCUUCCUCUAGGCCCAAAUAAUGCCGAACUGUCAUGCAGUCGACGUUCACAUAACACCACUAGAGGAAAAGACAACAUACAUCUCAUCAAAAUAUCGAACGAAUACCAAAUUCACAUGACUACUAAUAGCAAGACUUCACCCAUGUCCUCAGGAACAAAUGUAACUACUCACAAAGCAUAUUCAUGUUCAUAAUCAGAGGAGUAAUAAUAUGCAUAAAGGAUCUGAACAUAUGAUCUUCCACCAAGUAAACCAAUUAGCAUCAACUACAAGGAGUAAUCAACACUACUAGCAACCCACAGGUACCAAUUUGUGGUUUUGAUACAAGAUUGGAUAUAAGAGAUGAACUAGGGUUUUGGGAGGAGAUGGUGCUGGUGAAGAUGUUGAUGGAGAUUGACUCCCUCCCGAUGAGAGGAUCGUUGGUGAUGACGUUGGUGAUGAUUUCCCCCUACCGGAGGGAAGUGUCCCCGGCAGAACAGCUCUACCAGAGCCCUAGAUUGAUUCCGUCAAGGUUCCGCCUCGUGGCGGCGGAGUUUUGUCCCAUAAGAUUGCCCACGAUUUUUUCCAGGGUAAAAUUGAUGAUAUAGCAGAAGAUAGACGCCGGAGGCCCAACAGGGGGCCCAGGAGAUAGGGGGUGCGCCCUAUAGGGGGGGCGCCCCCCUGUCUCCUGGACAGGGUGUGGCCCCCCUGGCAUAUUUCUUUCGCUCAGAAAUUCUUAUUAAUUCCAAAAAGUUGUUUCGUGGAGUUUCAGGACUUUUGGAGCUGUGCAGAAUAGGUUUCCAAUGUUUGCUCCUUUUCCAGCCAGAAUUCCAACUGUCGGCAUUCCCCCUCUUCAUGGUAAACCUUGUAAAAUAAGAGAGAAUAGCCAUAAGUAUUGAGAUAUAAUAUGUAAUAACAGCCCAUAAUGCAAUAAAUAUUGAUAUAAAAGCAUGAUGCAAAAUGGACGUAUCAGUUACCCGUGACCACGUCCGAAGCUGCAUUCACUUGUGUCGCAUCGAUGUGUUUCAGGUGGUAUGGUACACGUGCUAGACCACUAGGACCACGUCCGCGGCUAGCCACAAGCACAUUCGCACGUACUUGUGCUGAAUUAGCCCGAUGCUUGUUUUGAGGUGGGACAGUUCCACUCGUGCCAGGUUGUGGUUGACUCUUACUCAGGCAUUUGUUUUGUAGUGACCCUUUUGUCCACAACCAAAACAGACAACACUCGCCUUUGGGCAAUCUCGAGCGAUGUGUGGUCCACCGCACACAUGACACUUUAUAGGGGCUUUAGGAGGCAUAAAGGGUGGUCUAGGGGCUUGAGGGAGAGGAGGACAGAUGGGUCCGACCAUUGGUGGGCGGACUAGGCCAACAGAGUUGUAUCCACUCCUCAUGAGGAACCUCUGGUCCAUUCUAGAUUUCUUUCUCCGUUCUUCCUCUAUGGCUAAUUGCCGAUUCUCAAUAAUAAUGACUCGAUCUACUAGCUCCCGAAACUUAGUUAUAUUUAUAGGGGCUAUGAUCAGCUGUAUGGAUGGCUUCAAUCCUUCUAUGAACCGGUACACCCUUUUGGUCUCAGUGUUUGUGUCUUCUGAUGCAUAGCGGGAUAGUGAGUUAAACUCAUCUAGGUACUCUGCGAUGGUUUUAGACCCUUGUUUAAGGCUUAGGAAUUUCUUACUUUUUAGUUCCAUCGCACUUUGCGGGACAUAGUUAUCUCGGAAUCUCCUCUUAAAUUCCUCCCAAGUAACUAUGUGGUUUUCGGGUAUGAUAAUUUGGACAUUUCUCCACCAUGUGGCAGCAGGACCAAUUAACCGAUGGGAUGCAUACCGAACUUUUUCUUGAUCCGUGCAUCCCACAGUGUUAAGUUUCAGCUCUAUGUCCAUCAACCAAUCCUCUGCGGCUAAUGGAUUGUGGCGGUUGAAAAGGUUGGUGGUCUAGUCUUUUGGAAGUCUCCAAUCGUGACACCUUGUUCUGGGUUUUUAGUCAGUUGGCCUCUCGUCACACUGAACAUCUGCUCCAUGAACUUAUUCUGGUGUUCUAGAGAGUCUCGAUGAGACUGCUCCAUCCACUGAUACAUUAGAGCAAGUUGAUCGGAUCCAGGGGCAUGAUGGGGUAAUGGUGGAGGUGGAGGUAACGUCACUCUAGACAACAAAUCUGCCAUGUUCCUUAGCCACUCGGGUGCUAAAUCUGAUGGGUUCCCAUUGUCUUCGAAUGACUGACUACCAGAUGCCAUCGCUACCGAUCUGGUGGGCAAGGCAUAGGUUAUAACGAUAGCUACUACAUGUGAAAAUAUUUUAUUUAUUUGAUUAGAGGUGAGAUUUUAGCCCACACAGUACACUUCACGCUUCCUUUUUUGGAGCAUCUAUUUAAACAGUGCACUUAACAGCGACAUACUAGAAAAUUUUGCGAAACAUUUUUUUACUUGUUGUUGGCCGAAGAAUAAAAGCAGUCAAACAAAGUGAUUCUUUUUAUCAUGACAGAGGCAAGAGAUUAAUCACAAUUCAAAAAUAGAGCCACUUGCACAUGCACAUGCACACACAAGUUCUUCAUGUACCGGAUUAAAAGCAUUCAAUCAUCAAGUGCGUGACAUACAUCAAUUGAACUCAUGAAGUGCUAGGAAAAAUGUAGCGGCAUCAGCACAUAAUAUAUAUACUAGCCCAACACGUGAUGUACCAAGGCAUGGACUGGAAUGAAGAGAUCACCCGAAAAAAUCUACCAUACAUCAGACGCCAUUAUGAAGCAUUGGCAACAACGUGGCAACAACAUCACAUACAGUAUUCCAUCAUACAGAGCAAGGAGCAUAAAAAGAACCAGAAUUUAAAAUGACAUGGCAUAUGCGUCACACGAGAUCACCUAGUAGUAGAAUAUCAGUACAUCCAUAAGUCCACCGGUCCACAUGAAUACAUCACAUAACAUAAUCGCAACACCACACAUGACUAUUUGUCGUACCAUCAGGUUACCAUGACUAUCUAUAUAUGUACCUAGAAAAAAAGUAUAUAUGUCUCCCUAUCUGCCUGUCGGGACCAAUCUGGGUAAAUAUGGUUGUGUAAACUCUAGAAGGGUAGCUAUGUCUACAAGACCUUUCUAAUUAUGUACAAAAUCCAAAAGGACAACCUCCAUGCAUCUGCCUAAACAUCUAAUAAGUGGUGGAACUAACUCUGCGAGGAGUAACUAUCUAGCAUGAUGCCACAACCUUGUUAGAAAACUAACUACUACUACUAAUAGUACGAAGUCAAUCCUCCCUGAUGAGAAGACUAGGUGAAAUGGUGAGGAGCAAGUCGGGGUUGAGGACAGAAGUCGGUGAAGGUAUAGACUGACUGGGUGCGGUGCCUCUGAAGAGUGCCUACUUGGUCUAACAGGUCCUGAACAAGCUGAGGUGUAGGUGGACACCUGUACGGUGUAGAGGGACGAGACACUGCUCGAGCGGGGGAACCCCUAAAAACUCUAGGAGUUGGGCAGUCUGCACGAGGGGGUGGAACUGCUUGGUACAAAUGAGGAAGAGCGGCAGUCAGAGUUAGUGGUGGUAAAAACGUGAGAGGUAAAACAGGAGGACGUGGUGGAAGUGGAAGGAAAGCAAAAGUGGACGCAAAAUGGUGAAGGAGCGACAGUGGGUGGAGGUGCUGACGAAUUCCCUGAUUACUCUUAUUGAUGAGCCAAUUGCCUCUACCACGCAAACAAGGAGAAGGUGGCAGGCAUGGAAAAUAUGUAAAGUGGCAUUCCAUGCCGCACCCUAAAGUGCUGAAGCAAAGUUGUAUUGUGCGACACUAUGCCUAGAUGGGACAUCUAAGCCCUCGGGUAUGUGCACUGUGACUAAGUACCCCGUGGAAUGAUACGUCUCUAAAGUAUCUAUAAUUUUUGAUUGUUCCAUGCUAUUACAUUACCCCUUUUGGAUGUUUAUGGGCUUUAUUUUACACAUUUAUAUCAUUUUUUGGGACUAACCUACUAACCGGAGGCCUAGCCCAUAUUGCUGUUUUUUGCCUAUUUCAGUAUUUCGAAGAAAAGGAAUAUCAAACGGAGUCCAAACGGAAUGAAACCUUCGGCAACAUGAUUUUUUGGAAGAAUAUGAUCCUGGAGACUUCGAGUCCAUGUCAGAAGAUCCUCGAGGGGGCCACGAGAUAGGAGGUCACGCCCCCCUUACAGGGUGGUGGCCUCCUAUCUCGUGGGCCCCUCGAGCACCUCCCGACUGACUUCUUUCGCCUAUAUAAGCCUACGUACCCUAAAACCAUCAAAAAUCAAGAUAGAUUGGGAGUUCCGCCGCCGCAAGCCUCUGUAGCCACCAAAAACCUCUCGGGAGCCUGUUCCGGCACCCUGCCGGAGGGGGAAUCCAUCACCGGUGGCCAUCUUCAACAUCCCAGCGCUCUCCAUGACGAGGAGGGAGUAGUUCACCCUUGGGGCUGAGGGUAUGUACCAGUAGCUAUGUGUUUGAUCUCUCUCUCUCUCGUGUUCCCUCUAUGGCACGAUCUUGAUGUAUCCCGAGCUUUGCUAUUGUAGUUGGAUCUUAUGAUGUUUCUCCCCCUCUACUCUCUUGUGAUGAAUUGAGUUUUCCUCUUAAAGUUAUCUUAUCGGAUUGAGUCAUUUAUUUGAGAACACUUGAUGUAUGUAUUGCCCUGUUUAUCUGUGAUGGCAAUGAGAUAUCACGUGCCUCUUGAUGUAUGUUUUGGUGACCAACUUGCCGGUUCCGCCCAUGAACCUAUGCAUAGGGGUUAGCACACGUUCUUGACUCUCCGGUAGAAACUUUGGGGCACUCUUUGAAGUACUUUGUGUUGGUUGAAUUGAUGAAUCUAAGAUUGUGUGAUGCAUAUUGUAUAAUCAUGCCCACGGAUACUUGAGGUGACAAUGGUGUAUCUAGGUGACAUUAGGGUUUUGGUUGAUUUGUGUCUUAAGGUGUUAUUCUAGUACGAACUCUUGAAUAGAUUGAUCUAAAAGAAUAACUUUGAGGUGGUUUCGUACCCUACCAUAAUCUCUUCGUUUGUUCUGCGCUAUUAGUGGCUUUGGAGUGACUCUUUGUUGCAUGUUGAGGGAUUUUUAUAUGAUCUAUCUAUGUUAUUAUUGUUGAGAGAACUUGCACUAGUGAAAGUAUGAACCCUAGGCCUUGUUUUCUAUCAUUGCAAUACCGUUUACACUCACUUUUAUCAUUAGUUACCUUGCUGUUUUUAUAUUUUCAGAUUAGAAAUACCUAUAUCUACCAUCCAUAUUGCACUUGUAUCACCAUCUCUUCGCCGAACUAGUGCACCUAUACAAUCUACCAUUGUAUUGGGUGUGUUGGGGACACAAGAGACUCUUUAUUAUUUGGUUGCAGGGUUGUUUGAAAGAGACCAUAUUCAUCCUACGCCUCCUACGGAUUGAUAAACCUUAGGUCAUCCACUUGAGGGAAAUUUUCUACUGUCCUACAAACCUGUGCACUUGCAGGCCCAACAACGUCUACAAGAAGAAGGUUGUGUAGUAGACAUCAAGCUCUUUUCUGGCGCCGUUGCCAGGGAUGUUAGCGCUUGAAGGUAUAUCUUUAGAUCUUGCAAUCGAAUCUUUUUGUUUCUUGUUUUAUCACUAGUUUAGUUUAUAAAAGAAAACUAUAAAAAAAUGGAGUUAAGUUUGUCUCAUAUUAUCUUUUUAAUAUCUUUCGUGAGCAUGAUGGAAAGGAAAAUUGUGCUCAAGUGCUAGAAGAAGAAUGCAUUAAAAUGCUUGGUAGUAAAUCUUUGAAUGAUGAGCAUGAUUGCAAUGUUGUUAGUAUGAAUUCCUUGAAUAUCCAUGAUGCUAAUGAUAUGCAAAGCCACAAGCUUGGGGAAGAUAUGUUUGAUGAAUAUGAUAUAUUUUGUCCCCCAAGCUUUGAUGAGCAAAUUUAUUUUGAUGAUAGCAUGCCUCCUAUUUAUGAUGAUUAUAUUGAUGAAAGUGGGUUUGGAAGAGUGACAACUUUAGGAAGUAGUGAUCCCACUAUUUUGGAGGAUGUUGAAUCUUAUUACGAUGAACAUGAAAGUGGAUUUGGAAGAGUGUAAACUUUAUUUAGUGAUGAAUCCACUAUUUCGGAAGAGGUUCCAAUUGAUUAUGAGAACAAAGUUGCUAUCUAUGAUGAUUAUUGUGAUGACUUGUAUGCUAUUAGGAAUAAUGAUAACCAUGAAACUUGUCAUCAUGAUUUUAGUUUUGAAUUGGAUUAUGCCUCACAUGAUAAUUAUUUUGUUGAGUUUGCUCCCACUAUUAUUCGUGAGAAGAAAUUUGCUUAUGUGGAGGGUAGUAAAUUUUAUAUGCUUCUAGAUCAUGAAAAGAAUGCUUUAGAUGCUGGUUAUAUUGUUGAAUUCAUUCAUGAUGCUACUGAAAAUUAUUAUGAGGGAGGAACAUAUGCUUGUAGGAAUUGCAAUAACGUCAAGUUUCCUCUCUAUGUGCUUACAUUUUUGAAGCUAUGCUUGUUUUACCUUCCUAUGGUAGUUGAUUAUUGUUCCCAUAAGUUGUUUGCUCACAAAAUCCCUAUGCAUAGGAAGUGGGUUAGGCUUAAAUGUGCUAGUCAUAUGCUUCAUGAUGCUUCCGUUAUGUUUCAAUUCUUAUCUUUUUGUGAGCAUCAUUGUCAUCAUCAUGCCUAGCUAGAAAAGCAUUAAAGAAAAGCGCUUGUGGGAGACAAUCCAAUAUUUAUCCUUACUGUUUUUGUGUGUCCACAUGAUUAUGCUACUGUAGUAAUCAUGUUUUAUAGCUUUUGUUUCAAUAAAGUGUCAAGUAAGACCUUUAGGAUAGCUUAUGGUGAUAGUUGUGUUGAUCCUGCUGAAAAUCAGAAACUUUUUCACCCAGUAAUUUAGUUUUUUUAAUUCACAGAAACGUUCGUCUAGUCUGAUUCUUUUUUCUUUGGAUUGGUACACAAAUUUCUUAGAACUUCCUAAUGUUGUAGGAUUUUUGGAGUUCCAGAAGUAUACGUUUGAUACAGAUUACUACAGACUGUUCUAUUUUUGACAGAUUCUAUUUUCUAUGUGUUGUUUGCUUAUUUUGAUGAAUCUAUGAGUAGUAUCGUAGGAUAUGAACCAUAGAUAAGUUGAAGUACAGUAGAUAUUACACCAAUAUGAAUUUAGAAUGAGUUCAUUACAGUACCUAAGCGGUGGUUUUAGUUUCUUAUACUAAAGGAGCUUACGAGUUUUCUGUUGAGUUUUGUGUUGUGGAGUUUUCAAGUUUUGGGUAAAGAUUCGAUGGACUAUGGAAUAAGGAGUGGCAAGAGCCUAAGCUUGGGGAUGCCCAAGGCACCCCAAGUUAAUAUUCGAGAAUAGCCAAAAGCCUAAGCUUGGGGAUUCCCCAGAAGGCAUCCCCUCUUUCGUCUUCGUUCAUCGGUAACUUUACUUGGAGCUAUAUUUUAUAUUCACCACAUGAUAUGUGUUUUGCUUGGAGCGUAAUUUUCUUUUCUUAGUAUUUUCUUGCUGUUAUUUAGAAUAAUGUUUUGCAUCUUUAGUUUCAAUAAAAAAGUCAAGGAUAGCCUUUGCCAUGCUUAUUUUGCUAUUAUACAUGUUGCUGUUUGAAAACAGAAAGUUUACUGCUGUUGCGAAAAUUCCCUAGAAAAGUCAGAGAAUGGUAUAAUGUUGAAACCUUUUGCAUGAUGAGAUCUGAUAAAUUUACUACAGUGGGAAUUUUAUUUCAUAAUUUUUGGAGUUAGGAAAGUAUGGAUACUCUUGCAUUUUUUACAGACUGUACUGUUUUGGCAGAUUGCUGUUAUGUUUGCAUUGUUUGCAUAUGUUUGCUUGUUUAAUAAUUCUAUUUGAGGAUAGGAAUAUUAAAUAUGCAGAGGCAUUUAGUAUGAAAUGUUGAACAAUAAUUUUAUUGAUUUGUUAUAGUAGAAUAUGAUAAGGUUUUGCAUUGGUUUGUACUAACCUAUCUCACGAGUUUUUGUUGAGUUUGUUGUGAAUGAAGCUUUUGAGAAAUAGAGAAUUCAUGAUAUGAGAGAAAUUAAGGAGACACAAAAGUUCAAGAUUAGGGAUGCCCAAGGCACUCCAACAUAAUAUUCAAGAAGUCUCAAGCAUCUAAGCUUGGGGAUGCCCGGUAGGCAUCCCACCUUUCUUCUUCAACAACUAUCGGUUAGUAUCGGUUGAGCCUAAGUUUUUGCUUCUUCACAUGAGUUGUGCUAUCCUUAAAAUGUCAUUUUAUUUUAUUUUGUUUGCUAUUUGAAUAAGAUACCAAGAUCUAAAAUUUCUUAAUGUUAGAAAGUCUUCACAUAUUUGCACAAUUAUUCGACUACUCAUUGAUCUUCAUAUAUCUUUCGGAGUAGUUUGUCAUUUGCUCUAGUGCAUCACUUAUAUCAUUUAGAGCACGGAGGUGGUUAUAUUUUGUAUAAAUUGUUGACCUCUCAUGCUUCACUUAUAUUAGUUUGAGAGUCUUUUAGAGCAGCAUGGUAUUUGCUAUGAUUACAAAGUUGGUCCUAGAAUGAUGAGCAUCCAAGUUGGGUAUAAUAAAAACUAUCAUAGAAAGUGAAUUGGAUGCUAUGAUCAACUUGAUGCUUGAUAAUUGUUUUGAGAUGUGGAGGAAGUGACAUUAAAGGCAUGCUAGUUGGGUGAUUAUGAAUUUAAAGAAUGCUUGUGUUGAAGUUUGUGAUUCCCAUAGCAUGCACGUAUGGUGAACCACUUUGUGAUGAAGUUGGAGCACAAUUUUAUUUAUUGAUUGUCUUCCUUAUGAGUGGCUGUCGGGGACGAGUGAUGGCCUUUUCUUACCAAUCUAUCCCCCUAGGAGCAUGCGCGAAGUGCUUUGGUUUUUGAUGACUUCUAGCAACAAGUAUAUGAGUUCUUUUGAUUAAUGUUGAGUCCAUGGAUUAUACGCACUCCUUCACCCUUCCACCAUUGCUAGCCUCUCUUGUACCGUGCAACUUUUGCUGGUACCAUACACCCAUCAUAGUCCUUCCUCAAAACAGCUACCAUACCUACCUAUUAUGGCAUUUCCAUAGUCAUUCCGAGAUAUAUUGCCAUGCAACUUUCCACCGUUCCGUCCAUAUGACACGCAUUACUUUUGUCAUAUUGCUUUUUGCAUGAUCAUGUAGUUGAUAUUGUAUUUGUGGCAAGGCCACCUUCAUAAUUUUCAUACAUGUCGCUCUUGAUUCAUUGCAUAUCCCGGUACACCGCCGGAGGCAUUCAUAUAGAGUCAUAUCUUGUUCUAUCUUUGAGUUGUAAAUCCAUAAAAGUGUGAUGAUCUUCAUUAUUAGAGCAUUGUCCUAGUGAGGAAAGGAUGAUGAAGACUAUGAUUCCCCACAAGUCGGGAUGAGACUUCGGACUUUACAAAAAGAAAAAAAGGAAAACAAGAGAAAGGCCAAAAAGAAAAAAGAAAAAAAAAGAGAAGGCCAAAGAAAAGAAAAAAAAAGAAGAAAAAGAAGAUAGAAAGGACAAUGCUACUAUCUCUUUUUCCACACUUGUGCUUCAAAAUAGCACCAUGAUCUUCAUGUUAGAGAGUCUCAUAUGUUGUCACUUUCAUAUACUAGUGGGAAUUUUUCAUUAUAGAACUUGGUUUGUAUAUUCCAAUGAUGGGCUUCCUCAAAAGUGCCCUAGGUCUUCAUGAGCAAGCUAGUUGGAUGCACCCCACUUAGUUUCUUUUGUUGAACUUUCAUACAUUUAUAGCUCUAGUGCAUCUGUUGCAUGGCAAUCCCUACUCACUCACAUUGAUAUCUAUUAAUGGGCAUCUCCAUAGCCCGUUGAUACGCCUAGUUGAUGUGAUACAAUCUUCUCCCUUUUUUGUCUUCUCCAUAACCACCAUUCUAUUCCACAUAUAAUGCUAUGUCCAUGGCUCACGCUCAUGUAUUGCGUGAAAGUUGAAAAAGUUUGAGAAUAUUAAAGUGUGAAACAAUUCCUUGGCUUGUCAUCGGGGUUGUGCAUGAUUAAAUACUUUGUGUGAUGAAGAUAGAGCAACAGCCAGACUAUAUGAUUUUGUAGGGAUAACUUUCUUUAGCCAUGUUAUUUUGAGAAGACAUGAUUACUUUGAUUAGUAUGCUUGAAGUAUUACUAUUUCUUAUGUCAAUAUGAACUUUUAUUUUGUAUCUUUUGGAUCUGAACAUUCAUGCCACAAUAAAAAAAUUACAUUGAGAAUUAUGCUAAGUAGCAUUCCACAUCAAAAAUCUGUUUUUAUCAUUUACCUACUCGAGGACGAGUAGGAAUUAAGCUUGGGGAUGCUUGAUACGUCUCUAACGUAUCUAUAAAUUUUGAUUGUUCCAUGCUAUUAUAUUACCCCUUUUGGAUGUUUAUGGGCUUUAUUUUACACAUUUAUAUCAUUUUUGGAACUAACCUACUAACCGGAGGCCCAGCCCAUAUUGCUGGGUUUUUUUUGCCUAUUUCAGUAUUUCGAAGAAAAGGAAUAUCAAACGGAGUCCAAACGGAAUGAAACCUUCGGCAGCGUGAUUUUUUGGAAGAAUAUGAUCCUGGAGACUUGGAGUACACGUCAGAAGAUCCUCGAGGAGGCCACGAGAUAGGAGGCCGCGCCCCCCUUACAGGGUGGUGGCCCCCUAUCUCGUGGGCCCCUCGAGCACUUCCCGACCGACUUCUUUCGCCUAUAUAAGCCUACGUAUCCUAAAACCAUCAAAAAUCAAGAUAGAUCGGGAGUCCCGCUGCCUCAAGCCUCUAUAGCCAGCAAAAACCUCUCGGGAGCCCGUUCCGGCACCCUGCCGGAGGGGGAAUCCAUCACCAGUGGCCAUCUUCAUCAUCCCGGCGCUCUCCAUGAUGAAGAGGGAGUAGUUCACCCUCGGGGCUGAGGGUAUGUACCAGUAGCCAUGUGUUUGAUCUCUCUCUCUCUCUCGUGUUCUCUCUCGUGUUCCCUCUAUGGCACGAUCUUGAUGUAUCCCGAGCUUUGCUAUUGUAGUUGGAUCUUAUGAUGUUUCUCCCCCUCUACUCUCUUGUGAUGAAUUGAGUUUCCCUCUUGAAGUUAUCUUAUCGGAUUGAGUCUUUUAUUUGAGAACACUUGAUGUAUGUAUUGCCCUGUUUAUCUGUGGUGACAAUGGGAUAUCACGUGCCUCUUGAUGUAUGUUUUGGUGACCAACUUGCGGUUCCGCCCAUGAACCUAUGCAUAGGGGUUGGCACACGUUCUUGACUCUCCGGUAGAAACUUUGGGGCACUCUUUGAAGUACUUUGUGUUGGUUGAAUUGAUGAAUCUGAGAUUGUGUGAUGCAUAUCGUAUAAUCAUGCCCACGGAUACUUGAGGUGACAAUGGAGUAUCUAGGUGACAUUAGGGUUUUGGUUGAUUUGUGUCUUAAGGUUUUAUUCUAGUACGAACUCUUGAAUAGAUUGAUCCGAAAGAAUAACUUUGAGGUGGUUUCAUACCCUACCAUAGUCUCUUCGUUUGUUCUCCGUUAUUAGUGGAUUUGGAGUGACUCUUUGUUGCAUGUUAAGGGAUUGUUAUAUGAUCUAUCUAUGUUAUUAUUGUUGAGAGAACUUGCACUAGUGAAAGUAUGAAUCCUAGGCCUUGUUUCCUAUCAUUGCAAUACCGUUUACGCUCACUUUUAUCAUUAGUUACCUUGCUGUUUUUAUAUUUUCAUAUUAUAAAUACCUAUAUCUACCAUCCAUACUGCACUUGUAUCACCAUCUCUUCGCCGAACUAGUGCACCUAUACAAUCUACCAUUGUAUUGGGUGUGUUUGAGACACAAAAGACUCUUUGUUAUUUGGUUGCAGGGUUGUUUGAGAUAGACCAUCUUCAUCCUACGCCUCCUACGGAUUGAUAAACCUUAGGUCAUCCACUUGAGGGAAAUUUUCUACUGUCCUACAAACCUGUGCACUUGCAGGCCCAACAACGUCUACAAAAAAAAAGGUUGUGCAGUAGACAUCAUGGAACACGGGUCAUGAAACACUUUGUAGUACGGUGCAAGCAACACAACAAGAAUACGAAGAAGCACAAUCAAGAAUAGAGCAAAACCACAGUACUCGACACCCGUACGACACAAUCUACCACUCAACAUCCUACAUUAAGAAAUUAAGAAUUUAGUACUGAUUUAGGACAAAAUAAGUACGUAUAUUCUGAACACAUUUUACUUGCAUAAUUCUAAGUAUGAGGUUUAAUUUAUUUAAUCUACUCUUGACUUGAGUCACUUUUUUUCAAAGAGUAUAUAUAGGAGACGUAGAACUUGAGAUGACAAGAGAUGGAUUUUUUUGAGAAACUUUUAUUUUCUUUAGGUAAGGAGGGAACCUGUCUUUUCUAAGGCUUAACAGACUCUAACUAAGUACAUGACUCUUUCCUUAACGAUGCUCUGAUACCACCUCUUCUGUGACGCCCUGUUACGUCCAACAGAGUUAGGCGUAACGGAAGCCGUCACUUCAGAGUUGCGCCAGGAUCAGUUAAGGAAAAUAGUAUCAUGUACAAGACGGAGCAACUGCCAUGAGUAGGCAAGCUUUUAUUACAUAGACACCUCAAGUGUCGACUAAGCCUAAGCGACCAUGACGAUAGAUCGUCACCCGCUUCUAGUGCGAGCCUUCUAGACCAACCAUGGAGGACAUCUACUCUUCAUAGACUUGAUUGCCAACAUCCUCAUGAUCAUACUUCACUUCAGAAUAACCAUAGUCGUCAAGAUGACCAGACUCAUCAUUUGUACCAUUCUCUAGUGCCUUAGAGUUCUCAUAACUCCCUUGUUCUGAAAAACAACAUAAGUGCAGCUGAGUAUGUAUAAAAUACGUGCUUCGUAAGUCGCCGGGAAAAGUGGAUGCAUGAGUAUUUUUAAGAGGAAAAACUUUAUCGGCCAUGGCUACCACCACCGAGCCAUUAGCUCAAAAUACUUUGUAGGUAAAAAAAAUAUUUUCCCUUAACCUGAAAAUCAAAUUUUAUUUAUAAAAUCUACUGGCGACAGAGCGAUGUGGGAUCUUACAUCCUGUGUUAGAGGAAAACCCACACGACGCACUUCCAAACCCGGAAGCUGGGAGUGAUAUCACAUUUAUUCUGAUCAGAGGUGUACUGCUUUGCCCGUAGCAUCACUUGGUCCAAGUCGUCCAUGCGCUACCCGUGCGCACGACUAGAUCAAGGAACCAGAACCUUUAACCAGCUCGUAGACUACCUCUGCUUUUCCACCUUGCCUUACUAUAGGCCCGCGGGCCGAGACCCCUGACCGCCGGUCCCGCCCUAGGGUGACUGUACCUACCCGGCUACAGCCACCUUCUCACCCAUGCAGAGGCAACUACUUGGCAUCGGUAGUCGGUUCAGCCCGUCCCAUUCCAGGCCUAUGGUCAGUACGGUUUGCGCCGCUUUUGACGUAAGCGCCAGUUGGUUGUGUCCUAAUGUGAUACCCUAUGUAGAGGAGUCUGCCAUCCAAGCCAACCCUACAUGGGUCGUCUUCACCAACAUGAGCUCCCAUACCCACCAAAUUUUUAGUUAUAAUGUAACCCUGCCCGGGUCACGACUACUUAAUACAGAUACUUCACUUGAUCUGGUCCAAUUGCCAAAUCAGUGGAUCCACCUGAUCCAAAUAUCAUUUUAUUUAUGAAAAGUAUUUAUUUUUAAUUCUUAUGCAAAAUUUUGGAAAUGACUCAUAGCCCGGAAAACAUUUAUGAAGACAUGAUCAAGGAGAUGACGACUUGCCGGGUAGCGCCCCGACCAACUCGAAACCACCAGAUGGGGGUCCUAUGGGUCUGAGAUCGACUCCUGAUAAUUAUUUCACAAAGAAGUUUAUAUUUUCCCUAAUCAAGAUCCAAGCAUCAAGAAACAAUUCCAUACGGUGCAAUCCAUUUUAAUUAAAGAGGCAAUGAUACAUGCUAGUGUGUAAUUAGAAGCAAAAUGCAUACAACACAUCAAGAAGUAGUACGCACAUGCACAUCACAAAGAGCAAGCAAGCAAGCUCAAAAGGAAAAAUGUGUUUAGCUGGUCGAACCCAACCCCGGCAGAAAUAUCAUUUCUUUUUUCUCCAACUAGUCAUCUUCCCCAGCUCUCUACCUCUCUCUCUCACUGUCACUGGUAUGCUCAGCCACGAACAUAACCAACUCCAUCUCUCUCUCCCUAACUACAGAGCAGGCCGCCGCCGGCUCGAUCUGCCACUUCCGGCCAUCUCCGGCGACACCGCGGACACCCACAGAAUCCCCUCAACUCCCUCUACCAUAUACCCCCAUUUAUUUGAUCCGCCGCCGCCAAAAUCGCCGCCACCCUCAAACCCCAGCGCCGUCUGCAUCGGGUCCGAUGGGUUCACCACGGGCCGCAGCAGCAAUGGCAUCUCCCUACCUACAAACUCCUCCUGCAGAGCUGCACGCACGAGGCGUGCAACUAUGGCCGUCAGGCGUGACCAUCUUAACCGGUGCGGCUCCGGCAACAUGGCCGCUACAGACGCCCGGCUCGCCUUUGUCUACUGCUACUAGGGUAAGUGCCAGUCCAAAUUUCUCUCUGUGCAGUGUUCUUACCUCUGCUGCAAGUGUUUGUGCUAUGACUCCCCUUACUGCCAUGCUUCUUGUUAAUCUCAAGACCAAGGAAUUAAUCAAGCUUUACUCUAUGGUGUGGACGUGGUCUCCAGAUUUAUUCUAUAUUGUUUAUUCAAUUUUUAGCUCUACUACACUAUCCUCGCACUACUAUGAUUCUUUUUUAAUUAAGCUCAUAACUAGGAAUUAACCAGUGAAUUCCUACUGUCACCGACUUGAUUAAAAAGCGACAAGUUAAUUUCUUGUGAUGGUUAGGUGCUGCCACAAACUAAAUCUAAAUGUUGCUUCUACUGUGUGUGCGCGUGCACUCAUUUCUGCACCCUACAACAGUCAAGUGAACAUCGACAUUGAUCACUCAAAACAUUCUUAGAAAGGGGAUCAUGAAAGGGAAAAUAAGAGGAUGUCAGGAAUUUAUUUGUACAAGAUUUGCACAAAGUAUGUUUAUUUAUUUUUUUUGUUUUCAGAAUGAUGCAUGUGCAAAUGAGACAAGGCAAACAUUAGCCAAACAGUGUUCAAUACAACUAGGAAGGGAUCAUUAAGAUGAGUAGCAUACACAGGAAGCUUGAGCUAUUAGCUGUACAUGUAAAUCUUAGCAAGUUAAUAUUUGGGAUUUAAUUCUCAGCAUGACAUGUCUAUUAUAUACAUAGAUCUAGUACAAGACAGAGAUGGACAUGCACAGUACACAUGCAUCACUUAACCACCAUGUACUAAUUUGUCUUCAUCUAAUAUAUGUGCUUUCUUUUUCUAACCAUCAUUCUUCUUUUUACAGAGUAACUAGAGUCCAAAAGAGCAGGUGUUCAUGUUCUAAGCAAAGGUGAAGAUGGAUCAAGCAAACAAAGCUGCAAAAGCAAGGCACUUGAAUAGUACCUGAUGGCAACUCAGCAUCCGACCAAAAGAGUGGAUGGGGAUGGUGGGGAGAGCUUGGUUCUCUCUUGUGCGUGUUGUGUGCAGUAGAGGAAGUCAAAGGUGAAAGGAGGAGGCUGCUAUUUAUAGUAGUGUAGGGUGCUAGGUCGGUUUGGUAAAAGAGAGAUGAUGAGAAAAAGGGUUUCCCCCCGCUUUAUAGAUAAAGCAUCACCGAACAACCGAAUCCUGCCGAUACAAACACACACACCACACACCACACACACCCAAGGCUGGAUACAAGGACGCUGAUAACAGCAACACUACCCCGACAAAAUCCUAGCCAACAUCAGAUGAACACAAUCAGUACUACUACGAUGAUGUCGGGGCCCUCAACCAUGGGCGGGCCACCGCGAAGAGGAGAAGCCGAGUAGGACGAACAAUGAGCUCCAAAGGGGCGCCUUCAGCAAGGAAACGACACCAUCGUGUCGCCACCGCCCAAUCCAAGGAUUAGAGUUUCCCUCGGAGCACUCCGACGACAAAUGAGAUGCCGCGACGGCGCCUUCAAGAAGGGGACGACGCUGGAACGCCGCCGCCGUCGGCCUGGCAGAGCAGAACGGGUUUUCACCCCGGCCAACACUCAUCGUCACCGGAUUGGAUGAACGACCCACCCCGGUCAACACGCCGCCCACACGACCAUGCUGACCGGACAACGCCCGAGCCGCGUGCUCCGCCCAAGAGCACCCCGGCUACCACCAACCGGGCCGCCGCCACGGCAUCCGAGCCCCACCCUCAACCAGGACACACCGAACGGACGCGGCUGACCAGAACGAAGCGGAAGCUCGCCUUCCACCCCAAAGUCGACACCUUGGCAUGAUCGGUGACCUCGGCGGCCGGAUCAGGGCCAGGGGAACUCCGGCGGCCACCCGCGGCAGCCGCCAGAUGCAACGGAGGGGGCACCCUGCCCCUUCCCGGAGUCCCCUGCCACCACCAGUAGGCCUCGCGCGCACCACCACACCAUGGCGCCACCCCGGCCUGACGAGCCCGUCGCUGAGUCCAAAGAAGAGGGAGGGAGCUCACCCGAGUCCGACGCAGACGAACAGCCGCCGGAGAGAGCCGCCGUUGCCGCGUGCAGAUCGGACAACCACCAGGCCGCAGCAGCGCCGCUGCAGCCCACCCCACUCCGAGGUCAAGACCGACCUCGGCCACCGCCCCGCGCCGCCCGCCGACAUCCAGGAGCCGGAUCCGGGAGGAUGGGGCCGGAUCCGCGCGAGCACGCCACCGCCCAGAUCGGGAAACCCCGCGGCCGCCACGCCGCAGACGAGCUCGCCGUUCGACGUCGCGUCNNNNNNNNNNNNNNNNNNNNNNNNNNNNNNNNNNNNNNNNNNNNNNNNNNNNNNNNNNNNNNNNNNNNNNNNNNNNNNNNNNNNNNNNNNNNNNNNNNNNNNNNNNNNNNNNNNNNNNNNNNNNNNNNNNNNNNNNNNNNNNNNNNNNNNNNNNNNNNNNNNNNNNNNNNNNNNNNNNNNNNNNNNNNNNNNNNNNNNNNNNNNNNNNNNNNNNNNNNNNNNNNNNNNNNNNNNNNNNNNNNNNNNNNNNNNNNNNNNNNNNNNNNNNNNNNNNNNNNNNNNNNNNNNNNNNNNNNNNNNNNNNNNNNNNNNNNNNNNNNNNNNNNNNNNNNNNNNNNNNNNNNNNNNNNNNNNNNNNNNNNNNNNNNNNNNNNNNNNNNNNNNNNNNNNNNNNNNNNNNNNNNNNNNNNNNNNNNNNNNNNNNNNNNNNNNNNNNNNNNNNNNNNNNNNNNNNNNNNNNNNNNNNNNNNNNNNNNNNNNNNNNNNNNNNNNNNNNNNNNNNNNNNNNNNNNNNNNNNNNNGGCCGUCUCGCGCCAGCCGCGGAGCACGAGGGGGAGGAAGAAGAGGCCCCGCCGCCGCCCCCACCGGCCGGGCUUCGCCCGCCGGCGUCGCUGGGCGGCGGCGAGGGAGGAGAGCAGAGGAGGGGGAGGUGGGUUACGGCGGCUAGGGUUCCCCCCUGUCGCUCGCGAGAGCGACACGGGAGGGGACGGGGGUAGAUAAAUACAUAUGGAGCCGAGUCGUAAAAGAGAGAUGUGGCUGACAUGCCUGGUUGCAUGAGCAUGCAAGCCUCCACAUGUAAUCAUGUGAGUUGUACAACGGACAAGUGUAUAGUGCAUGGUUGGACACGAGUUGGCAUAUACUUUGUGUGUAAGGAAUGAGACAAGGGCCUAAUUGUAAAUCUGCAAACUAUAAGGGAGUUGGAGAAGAACCAAUGUACAUGGCUAAAUACUAACUUUUUUUGUUGCAAUAAAUUUUUGAUAUUAGUGUUGUGGUUAAUUAU
rnacentral:lncRNA from 1 species